GUAUUUUAAUAAAAAAGGCCUGAAUUUGGGCUCAUAACCCGAAGGUCGUUGGUUCGAAUUCAGCCCCCGCUACCA
rnacentral:tRNA from 1 species